AUGGCCGACAGGGAGGAGGAGAAGGCGGAGGCCGCCGUGCGGGAGGGGGAGGAGGAGCAGGGGCAGGAGCAGCAGGAGGAGGAGGAGUACGAGAGCGACCUGGACGACGCGCCCCUCCCGGCGGUGAGGCGCCGGGCCGCGGCGAGCGACGAGGAAGAGGAGGAUGAGGAGGGCGAGGGCUUGCCGUUGCCGCGGAGAGGGGCCGGAUCCGGCGCGGAGUCCGACGGGCAGGGCGCCGCCGAGGAGUACGGCGAGGAGUACGAGGAGGAGUAUGAGGAGGAGUACGAGGAGGUGUACGAGGAUUUCGAGCAGGGGCGUGGCGGGGCGGCCGCCCAGGCGGUUGCCGCGCCGAGAGAGGCGGCGGAGGGGGCCGAGGAGGGAGGGGAAGCCAAGGAGGCGGCGGCGGCGGGAGAGGAGGGGGAGGAGGGGAAGAAGGAGAGCGAGCCCUUUGCCGUGCCGACGGCGGGCGCCUUCUACAUGCACGACGACCGCUUCCAGGAGUCCCGCGGCGGCCGCGGCCGCGGAAGGAGAACACUGAGUAAUAGGAACUUGUGGAAUCCUAAAGAGGAGGAAGCUUGGGUCCAUGACAGAUUUGAUGAGAUGCAUCCACGUGGUUAUCAUAAUGGCAAUAUGAGAAAUCCAAGGGGCCGCUCUGGAGGGCGUGUUGGUGGACCUGGCGGUAGGACUCGUGGUGUUGGCCGUGGUAAUUUCAGAGGCAACAGGUCUCGAGCGCAUAAUCAUGAUGGUAACCAGAACUACAGCUAUGUUCCAAAGGGAUCUCUAGUUUCCCUUGAUAAUACAAAAAAUGCUGGACCAGUCCUGCGUGAGCACAGGAAGAACAGAGCUCCUAAAUCGUCUCAUGCUCGCAAUGAUGAUGUUGAUAACUUUGAUGUGGUUCCAAAAGAAUCUCACACUUAUAAUGACGGUUCCAGAAGUCGUAAGGCCACACCAAGCGUAAUUCGUGGCAGAGGCUCUAGACGUUACCAACCACGUCGCAGUACUACUGAGAUAUCUUCAGAGCAAAAUGAUAAAUCACAGAAACCUGAAAAUGCUUUAUCAAAUGCAAAUUUGGGGAAACACCAACCUCAGAAUUCAAAUUCUUGGCCUGAGCAAGGUUUUCCUAAUAAGCAAUCCUUUGCAUCAAACUUGAAUUCAGCCUCGCCGCCAUUUUACCCUUCAAGGCCGUCCCACCAGGAACAACUGAUUGGUCAAAGGGGGAAUGCACAACCUAGUACCACUAGUAGACCCUUCUCACCCCCCAUUGGUAUGGAACAUGUUUCUCCAACCCCACAAAAUGCCCCCCUGUUGAGAGGGAAGGCUUUCGUACCGAAGGGCACAAAUAUACAGUCAUCUCCAUCAUCAUCAAAUACCCAAUCCACACUAAGGAUGCCAACCCAGAUGUUGGGUGCACAAUUUGGUAGUAGUGGUCGAAUGCCAUCUUUCACACAACCUACGCCUACAGUUUUGACUGAAGACACUGGUGUUUCUUCACCUAAUGGAUCAAAUGAAGCUGUUACUCGAUUGACGGUGAAUGGGCAACCUGGUGGCCAGGGAGAAGAGCGUGCUUCUUUUCCCUAUGGUGGAGGUCAUGUUCUCGGAGCUACAGGAGGCCUUUCACUUGGUGACAAAGGUUUCCAUGGCACCCCCGCACUCUUUCCAGUUAUGCAGUUUGGAGGCCAGCAUCCAGGUGUGCCUGGUGUUCCUUCAAUCGGUAUGGCUUUACCAGGAUUUGUGUCUCAGCAACAACAUGGCGUCAGCAAUUCUGAGAUGGCUUGGCUGCCAAUAUUGUCCGGUUCCGCUGGAGGUUUAGGAGCAACUUAUGGCUCACCUUAUUUUGCCAUGGAUGGAAGCUAUUAUUCCCGACCUUCUGAGCAGGCAUCUUCUUCAGUUAAUCCUAGAGAACCUAGUGCAAGUAAUGCGCCGUCUCAGUUGAAGCCCCCACAAAUAACAGAAGUUGUAAAUGAUGAGCCUAGUCAACGCCAAAAUAAACCUCGCCGAUACUCGCAGAUGAACCUUGGCCAGUGA
rnacentral:rRNA from 1 species